GAUGAAUAAAAUGAUUGCUUCCCCAUCCCAAACCCUCAGUUGAUGUAGCAGCACUUCCUUUUAGCAGCAGGCUAUGUGAUAGUCGAUGUAGCAGCACUCCCUUGUAGCAGCAGGCUAUAAGAUAGUUAAAGAAUGUAGUGAAGCCAAAAAUAUUCUCUUUUUAUAUUAAAAAGUCACCACUUUAAGCAUGUCUCUAUGCGAGAUCACAACAAGCGAAAAAAUAAAACUAUUUUAGGCUGCUUAACUGCAGAUUUACCGCUUUUUAACAAUCCAUGUGAUUCAAAGGGUUUGACACUUGAAUUUCAAUAUAACUUUCACUAGGCAGUUAUAUAAUGUAUAAGUUAAAGUUGUAUUUUUCUGUAAGUUAUUUCACACUAACAAAUAUUUUGCGUAUGAGUAUAAAAAGUGUUGUUUUAAAAAAUAAAUUUUUCCAGUUUAAAAAGUAUAGUUGAGAAAGCAAAAUGUACAUCCGAGCUGUUUGGAUAGAAAAUAAAGAGAAAUAGAGAGAAAAUACGAUUGAUAGUUUUUUUGUUGGCCAUCAUCAUUUAGUGUAAUAAAUUAUUUCAAUGAAAUGCAUGAACCGCAGUCUAACUAAUACAUAUUUAAGCUGCUCAAUAUUAAAUGUUGUGGAGAUAAUGAACCACUACUGUUCUUAUGCAAGAGAAAAUAUAAUCUAACCAAAAAUAACCAAGUACCUACUCCUAUAACGCAAAAAAAGAAAUGCAAAACAACUUUUAUGCAUACUCCGCAUGCUAUAGUUCAAGGAUCAGCAAUGGCAAAAUUUUCCUGAGGAAAGAGAGUAUUUUAAUAUAGUGCAAAGCUAUGUGUUUUUCCACAGAAAAAAAAAAAAGAUUGUUUUACCAGAGACACCUCCAUUUGUUUCCCUUAUAAGAAAAGCUACUAAAAAAGAUUCCUUAUCGAAUGGCAAGUCUCCCAUUACUGAGAAUUUCAGAAGAAAGUUUUAAAUGCACUGGUAGAAAAGAAAGAAAUGUUAGUAAAGCUCUUUCCAGUAAUUAAAAUAAUAUCACGACUAAUAGUCCUGAUAUUUUAUGGAUGAAUUGGCAGCAGUCAUUUAGUGAUUAUGAUGACAGUUUUAAUAAUUUUUGGAUGAGGUCUAAAGAAUUAUGAUAACAGUUUAAACAAGUGAUUUCUAAAGUGGUUAACAAACUUUCUAAAAUCAGAGAGAGCAUCAUGUCAAUUAAAGCGACUGCUACAGUUACCGAAAUAGGAAAAGGAAUAAUGACUUUAUUCAAAUAUGCACUCGACAGAUCGAAUGGUGGUGGUCGGUACAAAACAACAUUCAUACUUUUUCCUUAUUGUUCUGAAACUAUUGAUAAAUAAAACUUUUUUUUUCAAACAAUUUAUUUUAUUUGCAUUUUAUAUAAAGUCCCUUGAAGCAAUUUAGUUGUAUCUGAUUAAU